UGGGGAAUCUUGGACAAUGGGCGCAAGCCUGAUCCAGCCAUGCCGCGUGGAUGAUGAAGGCCUUAGGGUUGUAAAAUCCUUUCGCCGAGGACGAUAAUGACGGUACUCGGAGAAGAAGCUCCGGCUAACUUCGUGCCAGCAGCCGCGGUAAUACGAAGGGGGCUAGCGUUGUUCGGAUUUACUGGGCGUAAAGCGCGUGUAGGCGGACUUGUAAGUUGGGGGUGAAAUCCCGAGGCUCAACCUCGGAACUGCCUCCAAAACUACAAAUCUGGACCUAAGUAGAGGCAAGUGGAAUUGCGAGUGUAGAGGUGAAAUUCGUAGAUAUUCGCAGGAACACCAGUGGCGAAGGCGACUUGCUGGACUUAUGGUGACGCUGAGACGCGAAAGCGUGGGGAGCAAACAGGAUUAGAUACCCACGUAGUCCCUGAGCGGGCUGGCAAGGCGCAU
rnacentral:rRNA from 1 species